UGGGGGAUAUUGCACAAUGGGCGAAAGCCUGAUGCAGCGACGCCGCGUGGGGGAUGAAGGCUUUCGGGUUGUAAACCUCUUUCGCUAUCGAACAAGGCCCGCUUAGGGUGGGUUGAGGGUAGGUGGAGAAGAAGCGCCGGCUAACUACGUGCCAGCAGCCUCGGUAAUACGUAGGGCGCGAGCGUUGUCCGGAAUUAUUGGGCGUAAAGGGCUUGUAGGCGGCUUGUUGCGCCUGCUGUGAAAACGCGGGGCUUAACUUCGCGCGUGCAGUGGAUACGGGCAGGCUUGAGUGUGGUAGGGGUGACUUGAAUUCCAGGUGUAGCGGUGGAAUGCGCAGAUAUCUGGAGGAACACCGAUGGCGAAGGCAGGUCACUGGGCCAUGACAGACGCUGAGGAGCGAAAGCAUGGGUAGCGAACAGG
rnacentral:rRNA from 1 species